UCCAAGAAUGUUCUUGGGCUGUAAACUCAUGUUCAUACAUCAAAUGCCAAGAUUUUGGGGUCCUAAGUACAUGCAUGCAAGUCUACAGAUCUUAUCUAAGCUCCAAAUGAGGUUUGGAAGGGUUUUAAGGCUCAAAACCCCUUAUUACAUGUGUUCACGGCCUAAGGAGAUUCCAAGACCGAAACNAUGUUCAUACAUCAAAUGCCAAGAUUUUGGGGUCCUAAGUACAUGCAUGCAAGUCUACAGAUCUUAUCUAAGCUCCAAAUGAGGUUUGGAAGGGUUUUAAGGCUCAAAACCCCUUAUUACAUGUUUUCACGACCUAAGGAGGUUCCAAGACCGAAACACUUGUUUAUGGUCCCAUUCCUCAUAUAAAUCCCGAAUUUGAAGGCCAAAGGUGUUAAACUAAGAGCUAGGAUAGUUACCUUGAUG
rnacentral:lncRNA from 1 species